rnacentral:rRNA from 1 species
GAGUUUGAUCCUGGCUCAGAAUGAACGCUGGCGGCGUGCUUAACACAUGCAAGUCGUGCGCGAAGGUGGCUUCGGCCACCGGAGAGCGGCGAACGGGUGAGUAACACGUGGGUAAUCUGCCUGGGAGCGGGGGAUAACCUGGGGAAACUCGGGCUAAUACCGCAUACGUUGAUCGGCAUGCGUGCUGAUCAAGAAAGCUGGCCUCUACUUGUAAGCUAGCGCUCCUAGAGGAGCCCGCGUCUGAUUAGCUAGUUGGUGAGGUAAUGGCUCACCAAGGCGACGAUCAGUAGCCGGCCUGAGAGGGUGAUCGGCCACACUGGGACUGAGACACGGCCCAGACUCCUACGGGAGGCAGCAGUGGGGAAUAUUGGACAAUGGGCGCAAGCCUGAUCCAGCAACGCCGCGUGGAGGACGAAGGUCUUCGGAUCGUAAACUCCUGUCAGGUGGGGCGAAGGUUGCGGGGCAAACAGUCCUGCAGCUUGACGGUACCACCAGAGGAAGCCCCGGCUAACUCCGUGCCAGCAGCCGCGGUAAUACGGAGGGGGCAAGCGUUAUUCGGAAUUAUUGGGCGUAAAGGGCGCGUAGGCGGCUCGAUAAGUCAAAGGUGAAAUCCCUCGGCUCAACUGAGGAACUGCCUUUGAAACUGUAGAGCUUGAGUCCGGGAGGGGGUAGCGGAAUUCCCAGUGUAGCGGUGAAAUGCGUAGAUAUUGGGAGGAACACCAGUGGCGAA